ensembl:lncRNA
UUUGGGGACUUCCAGGCUAGGUCAAAGAUUGGGAGACUCACUAUUUGCAGAGUGACUAUUUUCCACAUGAUGAAAUGCUUCCCUCUCCUCCAUUGCAAGAAUUGUUGGCUAAAGCCUUACAGAUAGCUCCAAUUGUGAAGUGGGCAGUGAAAUAUUUAUAAAGGUACACCAUGUUGGAUGAUCCCAGAUCGGGACAUGAUGAAAUGGAAACAGAAACUGGGUUCUACAAUGAAAAUAAAUUUAAUACAUUAAUGCGUGCACGCACACACACACACACACAACGGUUUUAAAAAUAAGGUAACUAUAAAGAAGCUCAUUAAUUCUUAUGAAGUAAACUGUGAUAUGGUAACUGGGGCCACUUAUUUGUACCCACUCAAUCUGCCACUCAAUCCUUUCCUCCAAUUAUGUUGAAUGAAGGGCCCCAUCUCUAUCUAAGGUUCCUCCCUUUUCCAUGUGGACUUCAGUAAUUAUCCUCUAUCGCCCAUUUGUACCAUCAGUUUCUCUUUCUGUGCUACAACAGUCACAUCAAAAAGCAAAGCUGCUCUAAAACAAAGAAAACAAAUAACAAAAGUCAACUCUAACCCAUCUCCUGUUCCAUCUUCUGUUUGCCUUCAAAGCAAAAUUUCUUGAAGAAGCUAUCCUAAGUUAUCUUCCCUUCAUCACCUUUUCUCUCCUCCACCCAUUCCAGUUGGACUUCCCUCCUCAACUCCACCAAGAAGGCUCUCCACCAAUUGUUUUCAGCCACCAAACUCAAAAGUCAAUCAUCUGGUCUCCUUGUAUUCAACCUCUUUUUAGGUUUCAGCUGACGAUUCCCUCUAAAAGAAAUCCUGUACCUUUUAGUAGUUACUGCCCAAUUCCUCUUAACUAUCUCCGACACAUCCCCGCCUCUCACACCACAUUUUAUUUAUGCAUUCAUUAGUUGAUGGACAUUUGGGGGCAUUUCCACUUUUAGGCCAUUAUGAAUAAUGCUUCUAUGAACAUUAAUGUUCAAGUUUUUGUGCGGACAUAUGUUUUCAUUUCUCUUGGAUGUAUAUACCUAUGAGUGGAAUCGCUGGGUCAUAUGGUAACAUUAAAUUUAAGCCUCUGAGAAGCUGCCAGACUGUUUGACUGUUUUCCAGAAUUACUGCACCAUUUUACAUUCCUAGCAGCAUGUAUGAGGGUUCCAGUAUUUCCAUAUUCUCCUCCACAUGUCAUUAUCUGCCUUUUUUAUUAUAGCCAUCCUAGUUGGGGUGAAGUGGUAUCUCAUUGUGCUUUUGUCUUGCAUUUCACUAAUGGCUAACAGUGUAAACAUCUUUUCAGAAGUAUUACUUCCCAUUUGCUUAUCUUUUUUGGAGAAAUGUCUGCUUAGAUCCUUUACUCAUUUGUUAAAAUGAAAUGUCUUUAUACUAUUGAGUUGUAAGAUUUUUUAAUAUAUUCUGGUUAUUACAUUCUUAUCGGAUAUGCAAUUUGCAAAUAUUUUCUCCCAUUCUGUGGGUUCUCUUUUCACUUUCUUUAUGGUGUCUUUUGAAGCACAAAAGUGUUUUAACUUUGAUGAAAUCAAAUUUAUCUAAAUUUUUCUUCUAUUGUUGGGCUUUUGGUGUCAUAUUUAAUAAUUCUUUUUCAAAACCAAGAUUAUAAUGAUUUACCCCUGUGUUUUCUUCUAAGAGUUUUAAAGUUUCAGCUCUUACAUUUAGGUCUUGAUCCAUUUUGACUUAAUUUUUACAUAUAAUGUGAGGUAAGGUUCCAAUUUCGUUCUUUGUCAUGUGGCUAUCCAGUUACCCUAACACCAUUAACUGAUUUCACUCUUGAUUUUAAAUGUCUAUUAUGGAUUAGCAAGUUCAUUUGCAUUUCUAACAGGUACGUGAAAUUUAACAUACCAAAAGGCAACUCUUCAUUCCUUUCCCACAAACUUAUUGUUUCUCCUUCUCCAGUCUCUCCCAACUCAGUGAAUUGUACCUAUCCACUCAGCUGUUAAAAACAAAUUUAUCUAUGAUUGUUCCUUAAGCUGACCCAUCAGCAAGUUCUCUUAUUUCUAUCUUCAAAGCACAUUUUAAAAUUCAUUCUCUUCGUCUCCUCUUUUCUACCUACCUUCAUUUUCUAGGUGAUUUCAUUUAGUUACAUAGCUUAAAUACUGUCUUUAUGCUGUGAUGACAGACAUACAUAUCUCUAAGUUCAUCUUCUACUCUAAACUCUAGCCUUAUAUAUACAACUUUCUACUAGCAAACUCCACAAUAUGCCCAAAUGCAAACAUUUGAUCUCCAACUUUCUCUUACUCCCCCCCAUACCAUAUUUUUCCCCUCUCAUCUCCAGCAAAUGGUGCCACCAUUUGCUCAAUUGUUAAGGACAAAAGCCUUGGAAUUUUUUUGGCUCCUUACUUUCACACCCAACAUAGAAAAUGUUAGAAAAUCCUGCAGACUAUACCUUCAAAUUGUAUCUCGAAAAUGACCACUUCUUACUACUUCCACUGCUACCAGCCUAGGCCAGUUCACCAUCAUCUUUUGCCUGGUUUAGUCCAACAGUCUCCAAAUAGGUUCUUCUGCUUCCUUUCUAGUACCCCCACAACCAUUAUCUAUUUUUUCCCAGAGCAGCCAGAGUGAUUAUUUUAAGUAUAGAUCAGAUCAAGUCACUUCCCUGUUCAAAGCCUUUUGAUGACCUUCAAUGAAUUUAGAACAAAAUUCAAAGGCCUUGCUAUGGUCUAGCCAGCCUUGCAUGAUCUAGUUUUUAGCCAGUCUCCAGAUCUCAACUCUUGCCAUUUGCCUCCUACCCAACUGUGCUCCAGUCAUAGUGCUGUUAUUCCAACUCCUCAAGCACAUUCCCCUCCUAGAGUCUUCUUGCUGUCUCUCUGUCUGAGUUCCUUUUGUCCCAGACAACUGCAGUGCUUGCUCCCUCUCUUCAUUUAGGUAUGAGCAGAAGUAUUCCCUGACCAUAUUAUUUAAAAGUAGACCCAUCACUCUUCAUUCCCCUUGAUUGUCUAUGUCCUCUACUGAAUAUAAACCACAUGAGGGCAGUUUCUUUGCUUUUGAUCCUUGGUGCAUACCUAAUGUCUAGAGAGGACUUGGCACACAGUAGAUCAUUAGUGAACAUUUGUUGAAAGCAUAAAUAGAUGAAUGAAUUAAUGUCUUUGUUACUACCAUCCUAGUUGAAGCCACUAGGUCUCUUUUCUAAUAAUCUCCCAGCAGGUCUCCCAGUUUCCACUCUUAUUUCCUACAUACAGUCUAAUCUCCAUACAGCAUUAUGUUUUGUAUACAUAGAAAUCAGAUCAAGUCAUUCUCCUGCCUAAAACACCACAGUGGUAACUCAUCAUGCAUAUAAUACAAUCUAAACGGUUUACCUGUGAUAUAGGAAGGUUGAUAUGAGCUGCCUCCUGCCUAUUUCUCAGUACAUGAGUCACACUUCUGCCUUAUUGGUAUGCUCCAGCCAUAUUGAUCCUCAAGAACCUCUACAUCACUUCUGUCUUAGGAUUUUUAUUGAUAAUAUCUGAUCCCUCUUCACAGAACUCUCUUAUUUCAGUCUUCAAAGUGUUGGCUUGUUUUUGAUCAUUAAGAUUUCUGCUUAAAUAUCACCAUGGACUUUCCUGAGCACCCAGUGUAAAGUAGACAUUGGUCAUUUUGGCUCAUUGCUGUGUUUUAGCUUUCUGCAUAGCCCUUAUCUUGAUCUGAGAUUCUUAUUUAUUGAUUAUUGAUUGUAUUUCUUCUCCUUCCACCCUGCCCACUGUUCCCCCACAACCAGAAUAUAAACUCAACAGAUCACGCUGGCAAGAAUGUGCAAAAAAGGGAACCCUUGCACACUGUUGGUGGGAAUGUAAAUUAGUAGAAUCACUAAUGGAGAACAGUUCGAAGGAUUCUCAAAAAACUAAAAAUUGAGCUACCAUAUGAUCCAGCACUGGGUGUGUGCCCAAGAGAAAUGAAAUCAGUAUAUUGAGGAGAUAUCGGCAUUCCUAUGUUGUUGCAGCACUGUUUACAACAGCUAAGAUGUGUAAGCAACCUAACUGUCCAACAACAGAAAAAUGAAUAAAGAAAAAGUUGUACAUAUACACAAUAGAGUAUUACUCAGCCAUAAAAAUGAAUGAGAUCCAGUCAUUUGCAACAACAUGGACAGAAUUGGAGAUCCUUAGGUGAAGUGAUAUAAGCCAGGCACAGAAAGACAAACAUUGCAUGUUCUCACUCACUUGUCUGGGAUCUAAAAAUCAAAAUAAUUGAACUCAUGGACAUGGAGACUAGAAGGAUGGUUAGUAGAUGCUUACAAGGGUAGUGGGGCACUGGGGUGGGGGUAAGUAGGAAUGGUUAAUGGGUACAAAAAAUAGAGAGAAUGAAUAAGCCUACUAUUUGAUAGCACAAAAGGGUGACUAUAGUCAAUAAUAACUGUACAUUUUAAAAUAACUUUUUAAAGAGUAUAACUGGAUUGUUUGCAACUCAAUGUAUAAAUACUCGAGGUGAUGGAUGUCCCAUUCUUCGUGAUGUGCUUAUUUAAUAUUGCAUGCUUCUAUCAAACAUCUCAUGUAC